CUCGUAGUACGUCAAAUAAACUGACUAGCACAAGUUACUUAAAGCUUUAAAUAUUUCUUGAAGAACCUGAUUAGUGUAAAGCCCGUUUUAUCGGAUGCAGCUUGCUUCUUUAAUAUAUACCUGAUAUAUCCUGACAAAUAACACACACAUGAAGGUGCAUUUUACCGUUUUAAAUUAAAAUUAAUUUGAAUGUUACGAGAUGCAGAUCUUUACUUAUCAUCAUCGAUCGGCGUCUGACCGCUUUAUUCGUCAAAAGUUUGCAGUGUUUCAAUAUUCAAUUUGUUACUAUAACAAUKUAUCCUGAUAGUACUUCCAGWUAAGCUGGACAUGGUCCAUGGUCAAAGAUAAAGUAAAAUUGUAUCUGUGAAUUAAUAGCUAAGAUAUUUUCGCAUGCGAUAUUUUUAGUUUGAUUUAUUUCUAUAUGGAUCGAAUUCAAAUGAAUGACAGUUUAAGCUAAUUUAACUGUGCUGAAUUAAAUGAAAUACUUAACGAUAGUCUUGAACUUCAUUUAAUGCAUGACAUUUAUUCAAAUUUGGGAAUUGAGUGACAUAUAUUAUAACUCCUCAAAAUACAAAUGAUAGAAUUAAAAUAAUGCAUGAUCAUUCAUUUAUCAGUAUCAACUUAGAGAUAGAAAGUAUCUAUAAAACAACGUUAUCCCUAUAGAGUGAGUUUGGCCGGAUUGUGAAAUAAUCAUAUAACCAAUGAAAAGUCACUUAAAGAACUUUAUCUAUUGGCAUAUGACUCAGACGAUAUUCUUAGUCCUUCAAUAAACCAAGACGGUCAUGUCAUUAAUUUUUUCGACUAUAUGGCUAAUCAAGACGUUUAUGGGUACUUUAAGAGCAUUUUAAAAACAACAAAAAAAUAUAAAAUUUAUGAUUUAGAAUAACCAUUCACUGUUAUAAUUAGAGCUUUUUAUAAGAGUAAAUAUAAUUCUGAUCCCCGGUAAAUACUGUUUUAUAUGAGAACAGGUUUUUGCCGUAGAAUGGAUACAGAAAUAAGUUAACAGAAAUUAAGAAAGCAUUUUUGUGCAAGUACAAGAUAUAAGCUAGUGUUGU